rnacentral:rRNA from 1 species
GAUGAACGCUAGCUACAGGCGUUAACACAUGCAAGUCGAGGGGCGAGCAUGAACUUAGCUUGCUAAGUUGAUGGCGACCGGCGCACGGGUGAGUAACACGUAUCCAACCUGCCGAUGACUCGGGGAUAGCCUUUCGAAAGAAAGAUUAAUACCCGAUGGCAUAGUUCUUCCGCAUGGUAGAACUAUUAAAGAAUUUCGGUCAUCGAUGGACCCGCGUCUGAUUAGCCAGUUGGUGGGGUAACGGCCUACCAAAGCGACGAUCAGUAGCCGACCUGAGAGGGUGACCGGCCACAUUGGGACUGAGACACGGCCCAAACUCCUACGGGAGGCAGCAGUGGGGAAUAUUGCACAAUGGGGGAAACCCUGAUGCAGCGACGCCGCGUGAGUGAUGAAGUAUUUCGGUAUGUAAAACUCUAUCAGCAGGGAAGAUAAUGACGGUACCUGACUAAGAAGCACCGGCUAAAUACGUG